rnacentral:tRNA from 1 species
AACAAGAUGGCUGAUUUAAGCAAAGGAUUGUAAAUUCUUUAAAGUAAGUGAGAAUCUUACUCUUCGUUA